UCGUAUUAUUAAUUAAUUACCAAAUAGAAAACAAUAAACUUGCGGAAAAGAUGGUAUACCGCAAACAUGAGGUGCCAAAAUUUGUACAUCAUAUCCGGAUUUUGACAAUAAUGUCUCUUCAGUGGUGUAAGGAAUCGCAACGGUAUUUGGAAGGCCAUAUAAUUUAUCUCAAUUUAGAAUAGACUCUUAAAUUUUGAAAGAGUCAAGUUAAAUAGGACGAACGGAUCAUAUAAACCCGAAGGCAAAUAUAAUACAAGCCCAAGCGCAAAAAACC
rnacentral:lncRNA from 1 species